ACCAGUGUGUGUUCCGAGACUGCUCAGGAGCUAGCAGAGGGCCAGAGAAGAGGAUCCCAGGGUGACAGUAAACAGCAAAAUGGUCCACCAAGAAAACACAUUGUGGAGCGCAAUACGGAGUUUUAUCACAUACCCACUCACAGUGAUGCCAGCAAGAAGAGGCUGAUGGAGGAUACCGAAGACUGGCAUCCGAGGACUGGAACAACUCAGUCUCGCUCUUUCCACAUCCUUGCCCAGAUCACUGCGACUGAACAUCUGCAAGAAUCUGAAUCUGAUAAUACAAAGAAGGCAAAUAGUAUUCAGGAGCCUUCUCAACAGUUGGCUUCAUCUGCAGCGUUGCCUCGGAGUGGGCUAGAGAGCGUGGAAAGCACCGGUGCCAGCAGACCUGGGGGAGCCAGCCUCACGGCAGCUGCAGCCUUCAAACCAACAGGCUCCACCAGUACAAUCAAGUCUCCGAGCUGGCAGCGGCCCAGCCAAGCAGCACCUUCUACUGGAAAAAUAUCAAACAGUGCAACUUUCUCAGGAGCGGGGGCCCCAGUUAGCUCAGCUGUGGGGCAGCCUCAGCCAGGUGAACAAGAUACUUUAGUGCAAAGAGCAGAGCACAUCCCAGCGGGGAAACGAACUCCCAUGUGUGCCCACUGUAACCAGGUCAUCAGGGGACCAUUUCUAGUGGCACUAGGGAAAUCAUGGCACCCAGAAGAAUUUAAUUGUGUUCAUUGCAAAAAUACAAUGGCCUACAUUGGAUUUGUAGAGGAGAAGGGGGCGCUGUAUUGUGAGCUGUGCUAUGAGAAAUUCUUGGCCCCUGAAUGUGGUCGAUGCCAAAGGAAGAUCCUUGGAGAAGUCAUCAAUGCUUUGAAACAAACUUGGCAUGUUUCUUGUUUUGUGUCUGUGGCCUGUGGAAAACCCAUUCGUAAUAAUGUUUUCCACUUAGAGGAUGGUGAACCCUACUGUGAGACCGAUUAUUAUGCUCUUUUUGGCACUAUCUGUCGUGGGUGUGAAUUCCCCAUAGAAGCUGGUGACACGUUUCUGGAAGCUCUCGGCUAUACCUGGCACGACACUUGCUUUGUGUGCUCAGUAUGUUGUGAAAGUUUGGAAGGACAGACCUUUUUCUCCAAGAAAGACAAGCCAUUUUGCAAGAAGCAUGCUCAUUCUGUGAAUUUUUGAGUCAACAGAUAGAGAAAGAGAAGAAAUUGGAAGAAAAAAAGGAAAUUUUAAAUUACCAAUCAAUUUUUAGAUAUAGUAUUUCAAGAAGUUUUGAAAAGUAAUAGUAGCCCUGAAGGGAUAAAUUCCAACAUUAAGAAUCAAGUUUAUGAUGAAAUAUUUGGCUUCAGAGAGAAAAGGGACAGUUUGGCAUUUAUUACUUUGUCCUGUAUUUUCUGCCCAUAAAAUAACUUUUA